UACGUAGGUGGCAAGCGUUGUCCGGAUUUACUGGGUGUAAAGGGCGUGCAGCCGGGCUGACAAGUCAGGUGUGAAAUCCCGCGGCUCAACCGCGGAACUGCAUUUGAAACUGUCAGUCUUGAGUACCGGAGAGGUCAUCGGAAUUCCUUGUGUAGCGGUGAAAUGCGUAGAUAUAAGGAAGAACACCAGUGGCGAAGGCGGAUGACUGGACGGCAACUGACGUUGAGGCCCGAAAGCGUGGGGAGCAAACAGG
rnacentral:rRNA from 1 species